GGCCGCGGGAACUGACGGGUAGCGAGGCCGGCCUUGGAGUCUCGGUUUUGCAGAGGGCCCUCACAGUGGGCCUUUAACAUCUGCGGACGCUGGAGGCCCGCAGAAAGGAUAUUGUGUCCGAUGAGAUAAAGCACGUGAGAGUGCUUUGUAACUGGAUGGUGCCUUUCAAAAAUGAGAGUAUGACUGAGUUGACACCACCCCACGAAGGACUUUACAGCUGACGGAAGGAGACUGUAUGGUGGAAAAGAGUGAGCUAAGAGUUUAUGUUCCCCGGCCCCCUCCAUCAGAGAUUGCCUUGAACUGGACAUGUGCCUUGACAGUGAACCAGUGUACAUACCCUUACCUCAGAAGUCAUUGCCUCGCUCAAGGUGAAUUCUCAAGAGUUCUCUCUCCCUCAAGAUCUCGGUUACCUUCUUCUGUCUCUUGGAGCUUAAGGGAGGUACAGUUCCCCCCUUGUUAGCUCUGGGUCACAGAACUAACCUUGUAAUUCUCUAAUACCCUAUACACACAUUUGUAAUUAGUUCUGUAAAUAAACCUUCCUUAAGUGA